rnacentral:rRNA from 1 species
GAUUAACGCUAGCGGCAGGCCUAAUACAUGCAAGUCGAACGGGAUUCAAAGUAGCAAUAUUUUGAUGAGAGUGGCGCACGGGUGAGUAACACGUAUGCAAUUUUACCUUUAACUGGGGGAGUAGCCCUCCGAAAGGAGGAUUAAUACCGCAUAAUAUAUUGAAAUGGCAUCAUUUUAAUAUAAACCUACGGGGGUUAAAGAUGAGCAUGCAUCCGAUUAGCUAGUUGGUGUGGUAACGGCUCACCAAGGCAACGAUCGGGUAGGGGGUCGUGAGAGGAUGAUCCCCCACCACUGGUACUGAGACACGGACCAGACUCCUACGGGAGGCAGCAGUAAGGAAUAUUGGACAAUGGAGGCAACUCUGAUCCAGCCAUG